UGUUAACCGGAUAUUCAAACCAGUAAAGCUCACUGAUCAGAUGACAGUUGGGAAGUCUGACAGCACUUAAACGCAGCACAGGUUUUACCCACGCAGACAUUUCAACGAGCCCGAAACAAGACAGAACCGAGGUUUCCUGUGUUUUUUUAUGACCUGUUCGUCUACCAAGAAGCAUUCAUUAAUAGCCCCACAGCUGCUGUACCAGCACUGGAAACGGACUUCAGGACCAAACAUAAAAACAUAUGUAUGCGUUUUUUUCUGCAUCACCGGCUGAAUGCAGUCCUAAAUCUCCGUCACAAGACUCGGAGUAGUUCAAGGACCAUCAGAAAUAUGACAAUAGGUUUGAAAUGGUUGUGAAAAUUAUGCACUGUUUGUUUAAAAUGGCACAAAAUAUAUCCCUUCCUGACCAGCAGACGCAGUCAGUUUUAAUUUCACAUCUUUUCCUGGAUGAUAGUGACCUUUUCUAGUGUUAAAAUAGAGCUGGAGUCAUUUAACUGAACUGAGAAAAUCAAAAUAAGUGUUUCAAGAUAUUUACAUGUAAUAUUCUUACAGAGCAACAUCAGUCCUGUGUUUUUUUUAAAAUAGAACGUACAAAUGCAAACUAUUCUUUACUGUAAACAUGAGAGUCAUGUGGAGAUUAUCCAUUAGUUUGAACAAAAAAUAACAAAAACAUUUUUUUCUGUAAUAUGUGAAAAUGUCAGAAAAUUAUAUUUGAAGGAAGACACUCCCUGGUGGACAUAAAUGAUUUUUAAAACUCUAAUUGUGCUAAUGUUUCUGAUAAAUAUUGAAUAUAUUAACUAGUUAUUUAACUACAGUGACUUUGUAAUUUCAAUUCUCCAGUUUUGUAUCUUGAAAAUAUACUUGUGUGUUAUUUUGUUUAAUAUUCCUGAGUUGGUUAAAGCCUGAUUUAACAGUUUUCUCAGUUUGUCCACAGUUUAGUUCACUGUCAUCAUUUCUUUGUGAAGUAAUUCUUACUUUCAAUUUUCAUAACUGGAGUGAAAAUAACUGCAUUUAUUUAUUGUCAGAGGUUUAUAAUGAAUCUUACCUCACAGAGAAAAUGAAUAUUUAAAAUGCAGUGGUUCUGUUAUUUCAUAUUCUGCUUCUUCUUCAACAACAAUGUCGCAUUUUAUUUUGGAAAAAAUCACACGCUUGAAUCCCAGAUUACUGAGUCACAUGUUCAAAUGUCACAUUGGAGGAUUUAAUGCUCCAGAUCCAGAACAAACAAGAUUUUGCUGCUCAGCUGUGCCUGAAGGGAAACAGAGUCACACUGAAUAUUAAAGUCUGUGUUCAAACCUUUAUUUCACGUUUUUGAAGGAUUAAAAUGUUUUGACUGAGCUGUAAAUAACUGAGGUGUUUGUGUAACUUUAAUAAUCACUCAGUUUAAACUGAAACAGAAUCAUGACUCAGGAAUCAGGCAGGAAAAUAGAAAGUUUCCUGAUAAACAGGCAGAAGGUCAAAACUGCAGAUGAAGGCAGCUGGAGUGAAGCAAAUGUAAACUGUCAGACAGCUGAGGAACAUCUCAAGAUGCAGUUUCUGGAAAAGCAUCAACAAAUAGGAGUCUGUGGGUUCAGGUCAAAGUGCUGAUAUUUACUCAACACAAGCUGCAGUCAGUGUUUUUUACCAGCAGGUGUCUCCAGUGAACGCGUAAAGUGAAACUCUGAUAUCCAGGGUUCAGUGAAUGCAGCUGUAGUGACCACGUGACCGAAUCAGAUUCAAAAAGUCCUUUUAGUUGACAAACACAGAUCUAAAAAACUGUUAACAGGAACUGAAAUCUAGUCUGGUGUUUCCAGCUGUUUGUAGGAGUCCAGUUUCAGCUGUUUACUAAAAUUAAAUGUCUCUGUAACAGCAUAUUUAUCUCUUUAUUAUUGUUUUAUCCACUACAGGAUAUUUACAACAGUUACAUGAAUGUGCAUACAGCUGCAUUAAAGACCUAAUUAUUUAAGUAACUACCAAAAUGUAGCAAUUAAAGGAGCAACGAAAACACAUUUUAUUGUGACAUUAGUUGCUGUAGUUAGAUUAUUUUCACACAUUGACAUAACUUUAAUGUUUAAUACAUAAAGCAGAAGUGUUUUGUCUGUAGGUGAACUUUCUCUCCUCAGAUUCUCUGCAGCAUCUCUUCUCCUGGACUAUUUUUAACUGUUUUCACCCUGAUAACCAAAACAUUUUGAACUGAACCUCAAUUAAUCAGAUCAUUAGUGACCUUCACUAAGGGUGUUUUCACACCUGUUAGUCCGCUAGAGUGGUUCGUUUGGACCCAAAAUUUGUUACAAUGUUGCUAUUUUCAACUGGGUCGGUUCGCAUUCACACCAGUGUUUUCGUAGUUGAACCUACUCCAAUUAAUGUUAUAUCUCCCCCCAGUCGUUUGGCGGCGCCGUUUACAAAACAAGGCGUUUACGAUGACGUAGGUGUACGCUGAUUGGCGCAGCAUGUGAAGAGGGAAAAAUCCCGGAAGAAAACAACAGGCUGUGUUUAUUUCAUGGACCGCGGGUUAUUCGUAGACAAUGAACUAUGCUCUCCUGUUCGUUCUUGUUGCCAUAUAUUUGUGUUAUUGCUUUAUGCAGCAAGCACAAAUACUGCUGUUGUUUCAGCACGAAGCUCGCAUUCGGUACGAGAACAUUAUACAGUCGUUUUUGGCCCCUGUUCAUUGUAAACGCAGGCUCUCGAUCAAACUCGUGCGGAGAAUGUGGUUUAGCUAGCGCGAUUUUUUUUGCGCCUCCCAAAAUUCCCUGUGCAGGUUGCUACGGAAGCUCCCAUAGACCAAAAAGUCUGCUGCGCCAUCAAGCCGGUCCGAAUGGAGACAGGUUUGUGUUCUCACCAGGAGCGAACCGAACUGGAGUUCACAUAGAAGCGGACCGAGACCACCUCCCGAAAGUGGUCUCGGUGCGGUUCGUUAGUCCGAACCAAAAAAAUCUGGUAUACUUUCACAUCAGCCCAAACGAACCAUGCUUGCAGGUGUUGCGGACUCCAGUCCGCUUUAAGCGGACUAAAAGACGUAGGUGUGAAAGCACCCUCAACCAUAUCAGUUUAAAAAUUAUGAACUCUCAUAUUGACACAGUUUUCAACAUUAGUGUGCUGAUAAAUCUAUACUCUAACAUUUCAAUUAACUUGUUCCCACCACUUAAAGAAAUAUGUGGCUGCAAGAUAAAAAAAAAAUCCAAUCUAAUGAUCUAGAUAAUUUUUUUAAAGUUGCAAACAUUUUAAUGGAUUGACUUGACAUAAUAAUGUUGCAUUCGCUUAAUAUUGUUGGUAAUUUAAACUCAAAUUUCCACAUUACUUGAUUAUAAACUGUAGCAGCAAUUUCAUCAAACCCAUUUAAUCUGCUGCUUGACUACUACUGAUGCCUGAGUUGGAUUUAGUCUUGACACAUGCAAAUAAAGAGGAGUAGAAGUGAAUCCAGUCGGUCCCAAUGACCAUUUAUUGCAUUUAUUGUUGUUGAAUGAAUUACAGAUAAGUUGAAACAAAACAAAAAAGCUUUAAACUAAAGAGUUUUUUUUUUUUUUUUUUUUUUUUUAAGAAGGCCUAGUUCCUUGAUGCAGCCACAUGGUCAAAAAACUUUUUGCCUUCCUCAGCCACAUCCAGAUGCUGUGGCAGCUGUUUUUUUUAGCCCUCCCCUUGGGCUCCACUUACAACUUCCUGAGCCAGGUGGAGCAAGACUCUCUGGUCUCCUCUAGGUGAGGAUUAACCCACCUAUGGCCAUACAUUUUCCCAGAGGCACACAUACUCUCUCUCUCUCCCAUUUACAUCCACAUACUAAUAAAAAAGAAUGUGUAAAGAUCAAAUAAAUCUCAAUUUUGCUCCUACAUAAACUAAAUUCAAGUUGAAGUAACUUAAUGAAAUUGGCUUUUUAGUUCAGUUUUUCAUCAUCUCUAAAGUCAACUUACUUAACUAGAUCAACUUUUUUUUUUUUUAACUUUGUCAACUUAAAAACAAGAACGACUUCAUUUUUAUGAAUAAUCAACUUAAAAACUUUACGUAUUUUUGGUACCAAUCAUGGGAAAAGCCAAUUCCUCGAACUCAGUACAGUUUGUUGGUUGAACAUAAUUUUAUUCUAAUUCAAUUCAAACACUUUAUUUAUCCCCGAGGGGCAAUUAAAAGGCACAAAGAGCAGCAUCAACAAAGAACAGGACAAGAACAAACAGAACAUCAGACAAUAAAACCGACACAAAGUUUGAUCAUUUAAAAUUUUAAUUUAGAAAGUCAUACCUUGUACAUUGUCUUUAUUAUGUCUUUAUUUUUAGCCUUAUUGUACCUUUAUUUUCUUAUUUCACUUCUUUCAUGCUUCGUCUGUAUCCAGCUGCUGUAACAUGUACGUUUCCCAGAUGAAGUUUAUUUUAUCUUAACUUUUAUUGUUCUGUGUGUAAAUAUAAUAAAAAUAAUUCUUUCUUAUGGAAUGAAAUGUGUACUCAAUGA
ensembl:lncRNA